rnacentral:lncRNA from 1 species
GUUUAAUGAUAGGAUUCAUGGCCGAUGCAGGCGCUCUUUGAACAUUGCCAAACUUUUGACACCCCUGGCAUCCCUUAAAAUAUUUAAAGCAAUCUUCAAGAAUAGUUGGCCAAUAAUAUCUAUUUCUCCUGAUCAUCCACUUCAUCUUAAAAGCUGAUUGAUGUGUGUUGGGUAUUUUAAACGCAAACAGAAAAAUCCGCAAGUGCACGGAUACCGAUGUAGCUUUCACCCGGGAGUAUUCCAGAGUAUCGAUUUUCCACAGAGAACGUGAGUGUACUUAUUAAGAUCCAAGAUCGCCCAAGG